UAUUCUGCCCUACGGGGAAGGAUGAGAAGCUUCGACUAAGGUUCGACUCGAGCGUAGCGAGAGAACGUUGCCGCA
rnacentral:sRNA from 1 species